UCUUUAUUGCACAUAUUGCUGUUUAACAAUUAAACUUGGUGUACAGCAUUUCAUCAAGUUUCCCUGUUAGAUUACAACUGAAUACCCAGGGAUAAUAUUCAGUAAAAUUAACUAAUAAAUUACAUUGUUUUAAUUCACACAUUAAACUAUUAUUAUAUGUGUUACAAAUAGUCUUUUCUACAUCACUUAAAGUAUUUUCAGAUAUAUUCAUAUAAAAAAUAUCUACACACUAAUUGUUUUACGGAAUUUGAUCAUUCAUCCGGAAUGACUUUUUAGGUUCUUUUAUUAUUUAAUCAAAAAUAUUGCGGUCAAGUGACCUCACACGCCUUGUCUUAUCCUCGUGUUUGGACAAUAUUUUUUUAAGUGUUUCGUGAAUUUGGAUUAUUAAUUUCGAUGUGGUUUUAAGAGUUUGGAAUAAUAUUGCGUAAAGGUUGCUGUAGGCCAUUAGCAUUGACCGUACAGAUGUGCAAAUAGUUUUUCAUGGUGGUUUAUAGUUGGAUAUUUUAAAUUUCAUACAAUAGCAUGG